rnacentral:rRNA from 1 species
UACGGGGGGGGGCAAGCGUUGCUCGGAAUUACUGGGCGUAAAGGGCUCGUAGGCGGCCAACUAAGUCGGAUGUGAAAUCCCCAAGCUUAACUUGGGAACUGCAUCCGAUACUGGAUGGCUUGAAUCCGGGAGAGGGAUGCAGAAUUCCAGGUGUAGCGGUGAAAUGCGUAGAUAUCGUAAGGAAGACCAGUGGCGAAGGCGAAAUCUCUGGACAGUUACUGACACUGAGGCACGAAGGCCAGGGGAGCAAACGGG